GAAUUCGAUUCAGGCCUAACACAUGCAAGUCGAACGGCAGCACGGGUGCUUGCACCUGGUGGCGAGUGGCGAACGGGUGAGUAAUAUAUCGGAACGUACCUUAUCGUGGGGGAUAACGCAGCGAAAGGCUGUGCUAAUACCGCAUAGGGCCUAAGGGGGAAAGGAGGGGACCGUAAGGCCUUGCGCGAUUAGAGCGGCCGAUACGUGAGUAGCUAGUUGGUGAGGUAAAGGCUCACCAAGGCAACGAUCAGUAGCUGGUCUGAGAGGACGAUCAGCCACACUGGGACUGAGACACGGCCCAGACUCCUACGGGAGGCAGCAGUGGGGAAUUUUGGACAAUGGGGGCAACCCUGAUCCAGCAAGGCCGCGUGAGUGAAGAAGGCCUUCGGGUGUAAAGCAAGGGGUCAGGGAAGAAACAGCAGCUCUAUACAGUAUGCGAAUGAC
rnacentral:rRNA from 1 species